rnacentral:rRNA from 1 species
CCCUUAGAUGUUCCGGGCCGCACACGCGCUACACUGAAGGAGGCAGCGUGUACUCCUGGAUCGAAAGAUUUGGGUAACCCGCGAAUCUCCUUCGUGCUAGGGAUUGAGGUUUGCAAUUAUCCUUCAUGAACGAGGAAUUCCCAGUAAGUGCAAGUCAUAAGCUUGCGCUGACUACGUCCCUGCCCUUUGUACACACCGCCCGUCGCUACUACCGAUUGAAUGAUUUAGUGAGGACUUCGGACUGGGACCGAUGCGGCUUUCGGGCUGCGUCGGUAUUCUGGAAAGAUGUCCAAACUGUNUNAUUUAGNGGAAGUAAAANUCGUANCA